rnacentral:rRNA from 1 species
AUUGAACGCUGGCGGCAGGCUUAACACAUGCAAGUCGAGCGGAGAUGAGGUGCUUGCACCUUAUCUUAGCGGCGGACGGGUGAGUAAUGCUUAGGAAUCUGCCUAUUAGUGGGGGACAACAUUCCGAAAGGAAUGCUAAUACCGCAUACGUCCUACGGGAGAAAGCAGGGGAUCUUCGGACCUUGCGCUAAUAGAUGAGCCUAAGUCGGAUUAGCUAGUUGGUGGGGUAAAGGCCUACCAAGGCGACGAUCUGUAGCGGGUCUGAGAGGAUGAUCCGCCACACGGGGACUGGAACACGGCCCAGACUCCCACGGGAGGCAGCAGUGGGGAAUAUUGGACAAUGGGCGGAAGCCUGAUCCAGCCAUGCCGCGUGUGUGAAGAAGGCCUUUUGGUUGUAAAGCACUUUAAGCGAGGAGGAGGCUACCUAGAUUAAUACUCUGGGAUAGUGGACGUUACUCGCAGAAUAAGCACCGGCUAACUCUGUGCCAGCAGCCGCCGUAAAAC